AACGAACGCUGGCGGCAGGCUUAACACAUGCAAGUCGAGCGCCCCGCAAGGGGAGCGGCAGACGGGUGAGUAACGCGUGGGAAUCUACCGUGCCCUACGGAAUAGCUCCGGGAAACUGGAAUUAAUACCGUAUACGCCCUACGGGGGAAAGAUUUAUCGGGGUAUGAUGAGCCCGCGUUGGAUUAGCUAGUUGGUGGGGUAAAGGCCUACCAAGGCGACGAUCCAUAGCUGGUCUGAGAGGAUGAUCAGCCACAUUGGGACUGAGACACGGCCCAAACUCCUACGGGAGGCAGCAGUGGGGAAUAUUGGACAAUGGGCGCAAGCCUGGUCCAGCCAUGCCGCGUGAGUGAUGAAGGUCUUAGGAUUGUAAAGCUCUUUCACCGGUGAAGAUAAUGACGGUAACCGGAGAAGAAGCCCCGGCUAACUUCGUGCCAGCAGCCGCCGUAAGAC
rnacentral:rRNA from 1 species